UGUGAGAUGGAGCUGUGCAACAAACUUCAGGGAUCCUGCACUAAGAAAUGCUCAGUGAAGAAGAAGUGGGGGAGAGCCGGCCCUCAUCGCUAUGACCUGGAAGAUAUCAAGCCUCCUCCUUUUGACCUAUCAUGUGGUGAACCCUGACUUGAAGCUUCGUCCCCGACAAACGGGCCUGAAAUCUCUGAGUGUUAUUUUUGCUGGCAGAUCAUUUUCACAUGCACCUGAGAAGACGUUUAUUUAUUUAUUUUUUGCAUAAUCUGUGGGGUUUUGAUUAAAUCCAGUGAUUCUUUAAAAUUCUUAUGGGAUUUUGAAAUUUAACAAUCGGUGGUGAAAGAAUAGAAAUUAAGGACAAAAGUAAUCAAGAGGUUUUGUUUACUUUGUGGACUCCUGACCGGAACUGGGUUCUUUUAAAAUGUACAUUGCCAUCACAAAGUUUAGAAUAACCUGAUACAUUCCUCCAAUAAUAGAGAUAAAAAGAGAAGAUUUUGCCAAAUGUUUCAUUUAAAAAAAUAGUUUUUAUUUAGAAGAUAUGGUUAUGGUAUGCUAAAGUAUUUAGAAUAUAUGCAAAACUAUUUCUGUUCAUUGGCAUGUAACAUAAUUAAAAUGUGAUUUAAAAUGGAUUAAUACAAAUUAAAAUGCUUGUUGCUCUUUUCCAGAAAACAAGUUUUCGAUUUCUAAUCAAGACUUUUUAAAUUUGUAAACAAAAUUUUGAAUUUUAAACAAAACUUUAUUUUUUUAAAUAAAAUGUUUAGACUUUUGAACAAAACUUUUUGGUUUGUAUACAAAAAAAAGAAGCUCUGCGGCAAGAAGGAACAUGAUGUGAAUGUAAAUGUUAAAUGAAGAAUGUCCAGCACUUCUUUAUUAUAUUAUUAUUACUAUCAGCAAAAGAAAACCCAAAA